rnacentral:rRNA from 1 species
UACGGAGGGGGCUAGCGUUGUUCGGAAUUACUGGGCGUAAAGCGCGCGUAGGCGGACCUGCAAGUCAGGGGUGAAAUCCCGGGGCUCAACCUCGGAACUGCCUUUGAUACAGCACGUCUCGAGUCCGGAAGAGGUGGGUGGAAUUCCUAGUGUAGAGGUGAAAUUCGUAGAUAUUAGGAAGAACACCGGUGGCGAAGGCGGCCCACUGGUCCGGUACUGACGCUGAGGUGCGAAAGCGUGGGGAGCAAACAGG